rnacentral:rRNA from 1 species
GAUGAACCGAGCGAACGUUGUUCGGAAUCACUGGGCUUAAAGGGCGCGUAGGCGGGUGCUCAAGUCCGGGGUGAAAUCCCACAGCUCAACUGUGGAACUGCCUCGGAUACUGGGUGUCUCGAGGGUGGCAGGGGUAUGCGGAACUAUUGGUGGAGCGGUGAAAUGCGUUGAUAUCAAUAGGAACGCCGGUGGCGAAGGCGGCAUACUGGUCCACUUCUGACGCUGAGGCGCGAAAGCCAGGGGAGCAAACGGG